AGCCAUGCAUCGAGCACAAAGCGAACUAUUUUUUCGCCUUUUACUGAAGAAUAUCGUGUGCUCAGCGUUUUAAGUGGCAUACGCCUAUUUUUAAAAGGGUGCAUCUAUGUGGGUGCC